rnacentral:lncRNA from 1 species
CAAAUUAUCCACUCGCCAAGUCACUCCUAAUGUGUAGCGGCAGUGAGCUACCCCCUACUAUGUCUGUACUGAAUAGAUACAUAAGAAAUUGUACGACUUUUCUUGAUUAUUUGUGAUUUGAGAAAUUGAUUCAUUUGACAAUUCUCUAAGAUAUGAUGAAACCAGAACAGUAGUUGCACCCGACCCCUAGUCACUUCUUUAAACAAGUAAAUAAACCACCCGACCCCUUACCCUUAACUAGACAAUGGGCACCCCCACUCUAACAAGCAAGUAAGUGAACAAGCCCAGCUGCAGUAACUUCAUGAAACAACUACCCGACCGACCCUACCUCUAAGAAGUGUUAACCCCGACCCGACCUCGACUCACCAGACUUAAGAACCAGACCAGUGCAGGAACCAGAAAGUCAGUAACCCAGCCUCAAAAGUGAGUCCACCACCCGACCCCUUAACUAGGCAAUAGGAACCCCGACCCUACCUCUAUACCUCAGGCUAUUUUCACUCAGGCUCAUCUCAUCUCUUAUAUAAGACUUCUGGCUACCCUUUCUUGACUUCCCCAUAAGACUUCUGGCUACCCUUUCUUGACUUUAAUCCAUUCUGACCUUCCCUUACGCGACUCCUACUAGUUGGGGGACUAGACUACUACGUGUUUGGGAUUCCACAAUUGACUUAAGGGCAAGAACAGGAGCUCAAAAGCACUAAUAACCACCCUAAAGUCAGACCUAUCCCUCAUUGGCAGCUUCAGCUACGGAUUCCACUUCACCAAAACCAGAUGAAACAGCCCCUCAAUCUAGGGCAACUACUACUGAUUCACAACAGGACUACUAUACUACUUGCUAUCAAAAAUCCCGGGUUUCUUAAAAAAGAUCAUGGAAAUCUGGUCAUCUAUUAGCUAAAUUGCCGAUGCUAUCAAAAAACACGGGAAAACGCAAACUUUGCAUGGAAAUCGGGUGCCUCAGGAAGGAAAACUUGGUUGCUGCCCAAAAAGACGGGAAAACGCAAAAAGGAAGUCCGUUUCGGGUGCUCCAGGAGGGGAAAUGCCCAUGCUAUGUUUUUUCCCGGGAAAACGCAUCUUUGACUCUGCCGCUACACAGUAGUAGUUCCUUGGCUCAUAGCAAAGCAGACUUACUGUGGCUCUUACUUGGCGACAACUGGAAUGAAUUCUUAUCUUAUAUAAGAGAACAGUAAGGGGACUGCCGCUACACACUAAUCGUUGCUUGUCCCUUUGACUCCUUAGCUUCAUUCUAUGCCUUAGCAGCUCUAUUCUAUGCCUUAGCAGCUCUAUUCUAUCCCUCGCUCGUUCCAUUCUUUGCCUGCUGAUCGGUAGGCUGUUACCCACUGGUUGAAGGCACCAAGCAACUACUAAUGUUGCGCGGUAGCGAGCCCUCACUGAUUGAAGGCUUUGACUCUAGCACUCCAUUCUAUAACUCACUUGUUUGAGUCUUGGUACUAUAUGUGGACUUCAAGUCAUAGGUCUAAUUCUUAUCUUAUUGGACUUCAAGUCAUAGGUCUAAUUCUUAUCUUAUUGGAGUUCAGGUCAUAGGUAAGAAUAGGGAGAUAGAUGCGGCUUUCAGGUCAUAGGUCUAAUUCUUUGAUUGACUGGUUCAACUCUACCCCUUACUAGCUCCAACUCUGUAACUCCCUCGGUUCAGUCUGAUCGGAUCUAGUUUGAUUCUGAUCUAGUACCCUGGAUGCGGGGAAUCGGUGGGCAAGUGAAGAAUUGGUAAUAGCAGUUGGAUUCUGAUCUACCCUACCAGCUGCAGGGAAUCAAUACCCUCGCUUUAAGUCUGGUUGUCCAGGUGCCUGCCUUAGUCUUGCUACCCUUGCUUUAAGCCUUGGACGAGUGAGUUGGAGACCCUAGCUACAUACCAAGCCCGAGAAGCACCGGUUGAAGACAGAUACCCUAGCUACCCAGCUGCAGGCUUAGCAUCAAUACCACUAACAUAAGGCUUGGACGAGUGAGGUGCAUUCUGAGUUUCCGACUUGCCCACCUCCCGCACUGGUUCUCUUUCCUCUCUCUCCUUUGGUAAAGCACCGAACCAGCCUGUCCAAAGAAUUCAGCAAGUUGCUUUCGAAUCCACCUCCAAUAGACAAUAGACCCGAGCUCUGUAAACUAUUUCAGUAAACCAGCCGCGCCUAGUAAUAGAAUUCUACCUGCCCACCCCGUAACUACACACAUGAUAGGCAAUAGGCACCCCGAGAUAGGCAAUAGGCACGCCUACCCACCUCCUCAGGCUCCGUUCUCAGUUGCAUCGGUACUAGACCUUGGCUACCCGGUAUCAGCCUUGGAGUUACUGCUUGCAUUCUAGUUUCUUUAAUAAUAACAGAUAUUUGGAGUCUAUUUUCUUCUACUAUUUCCCUACUGUGUCUGUAGUGUGUUAGUAUAUGAUAAAGAUGUCGACUUUUCUUAUUUAUUUGUGAUUUGAGAAAUUGUGAUUUGAUG